CACGUAGGGGGCGCGCGUUGUCCGGAUUCAUUGGGCGUAAAGCGCGCGCAGGCGGCUCGGAAAGUCGGGUGUGAAAACCUGGGGCUCAACCCCGGGCGUGCAUCCGAUACUGCCGGGCUUGAGGCAGGUAGGGGAGAUCGGAAUUCCUGGUGUAGCGGUGAAAUGCGCAGAUAUCAGGAAGAACACCCGUGGCUAAGGCGGCUCUCUAGUACGGUACUGACGCUGAGACGCGAAAGCGUGGGGAGCGAACAGG
rnacentral:rRNA from 1 species